AGAUUGAACGCUGGCGGCAGGCCUAACACAUGCAAGUCGAGCGGUAGAGAGGUGCUUGCACCUCUUGAGAGCGGCGGACGGGUGAGUAAUGCCUAGGAAUCUGCCUAGUGGUGGGGGAUAACGUUCGGAAACGGACGCUAAUACCGCAUACGUCCUACGGGAGAAAGUGGGGGAUCUUCGGACCUCACGCUAUCAGAUGAGCCUAGGUCGGAUUAGCUAGUUGGUAGGUAAGCCUACCAAGGCUACGAUCCGUAACUGGUCUGAGAGGAUAGAU
rnacentral:rRNA from 1 species